CCUACGGGAGGCAGCAGUGGGGAAUAUUGGAUAAUGGGGGGAACCCUGAUCCAGCCAUGCCGCGUGUGUGAAGAAGGCCCUCGGGUUGUAAAGCACUUUCAGUGAGGAAGAACGCCUGGUGGUUAAUACCCAUCAGGAAAGACAUCACUCACAGAAGAAGCACCGGCUAACUCCGUGCCAGCAGCCGCGGUAAUACGGAGGGUGCGAGCGUUAAUCGGAAUUACUGGGCGUAAAGCGCGCGUAGGUGGCUUGAUAAGCCGGUUGUGAAAGCCCCGGGCUCAACCUGGGAACGGCAUCCGGAACUGUCAAGCUAGAGUGCAGGAGAGGAAGGUAGAAUUCCCGGUGUAGCGGUGAAAUGCGUAGAGAUCGGGAGGAAUACCAGUGGCGAAGGCGGCCUUCUGGACUGACACUGACACUGAGGUGCGAAAGCGUGGGUAGCAAACAGGAUUAGAUACCCCGGUAGUC
rnacentral:rRNA from 1 species